UCUCAGGACAGCAAGAUGUCAGCGCACUUUUGAAAAACGGAUGUGUAUUCUUAUUUUACGGGUUGCUUUAAGUAGUUUUUAUGUUGACAAUACUGAAUACGUGGUACCCAAGGAAGAGUCAUAUAAAGAAAACACAAGGACUCCGAGACGAGCCCCAAAAUUACUUUUUAUCAGAAAUAAUACCCAUGUCGAACGACUAUGAAGAGAGAGCCACAAUGAUAGCCCCAGGGGAAUUGAAGUCAUUUGUCCCGUUUGGCCGUGAGGACUGCAAGGACCACCCAAACGCUGUAAACCUGCAGCUGCAGCCAGCCUCUGAGCUCAGGUCCUCAGACAGAAGGUCCCCUCCAGGAUGUCACUCUACAGGAGAAGGAUGCUACAGAUACAUAUGCAUAGCUAUAUCUGGAAUGCUGAUUGCUGAGAAAGGGUUCCAGUGUGGACAGUGAUGAGAAUGAGGAGGAGCUCUAUGCAGCAGGAAACAUGGUCAAAUGUGUGCUAGCAGCCAUUUGACGUGUUCAUGGGAACCUCUUCCUACAGUGUUCCGUAUGCUGCACCCUCUGGAUGAGACCAGUGGCAUGCAGGUCUACAGGUCUGUUCGAGGCUGCCCGUAUGCAGUACGUCUCUGACAGCACCAUGAAAAUCGUCUUCUCCAACUGCAAGCCCUCCAUAAUCAUGUCAUAGGACACCGUGCAGGGCAUACACUCAGUCACUCCAGAUGUAAGAUAACAUGCAAGAACAGCCCCUUGUGUUAAUAAUGUUGCAUUACUGCUUCCUUCAUGAUUUUUCAGUGGUAAAAAAUAGAAAGUUCAUGGCAUAAAUGGAAUUGAAGAAUAUAAUUCUCAUCAUGGCAUGAAUGGUGACUCAAAGGCCUAUCUACGAUCCCUUAGAGUGGAUUUAAAUUGGUCUGACUGGGGCCAGGGAUAGUUCACCCAAAUUACAAAACGAAACAUUGGUUUUCUUACCCUGUAAGCAGUCAAUGAACAAGGUAUCACAGCAAUCCAUGCUUUGGUUUUAUUUCCCUGUUUUCAAAUGCUAACAUUUUAGAAUUUGUGGGACAAAUCCCAUUCAAGUCAUGGUACCGAGAUUGGCAUUAUUCGCGUAUCGUCCAAAUCAUCCGAAAGUAUCUCAAAUUGAUUGUGACGCUCAACAAAGUCCCUUGAAGAUGAUUUGAACAUCAUGUGCGAUGAUUAUGAUUAAUAUCGGUACCAUGACUUGAAUGGGAUUCCAUGGGAUGAUGCAUUCUCAGGAUGGGUGAGCCUAGUAUGUUGAUAUUUGUUGCUUACUGCAUUUGUUUUUACUAAACAGUACGUUCUAAAUAUUAUGUAGUACGAUUAGUACACAGUACAGUGCCCUCCACUAAUAUUGGCACCCUUGGUAAAUCUGAGCAAAACGGGCUGUGAAGAAAAGUCUUUAUUGUUUGUCCUCUUGGUCUUUCAUUCAAAAUAUUCACAAA